UGAAGAGGUGGCUGAGUGGUUUAAAGCGAUAGACUGUAAAUCUAUUUAUAAUCAUAAUCGUAGGUUCAAAUCCUACCCUCUUCAA
rnacentral:tRNA from 1 species